UACGGAGGGAGCUAGCGUUAUUCGGAAUUACUGGGCGUAAGGCGCACGUAGGCGGCUUUGUAAGUAAGAGGUGAAAGCCCAGAGCUCAACUCUGGAAUUGCCUUUUAGACUGCAUCGCUUGAAUCAUGGAGAGGUCAGUGGAAUUCCGAGUGUAGAGGUGAAAUUCGUAGAUAUUCGGAAGAACACCAGUGGCGAAGGCGGCUGACUGGACAUGUAUUGACGCUGAGGUGCGAAAGCGUGGGGAGCAAACAGG
rnacentral:rRNA from 1 species